UACAGAGGGUGCAAGCGUUAUUCGGAAUUAUUGGGCGUAAAGGGCGCGUAGGCGGUAUGGCAAGUGGAAGGUGAAAUCCCUCGGCUUAACCGAGGAACUGCCCUCCAAACUGCUUUACUUGAGGCCCGGGAGAGGUGAGUGGAAUUCCCAGUGUAGCGGUGAAAUGCGUAGAUAUUGGGAGGAACACCAGUGGCGAAGGCGGCUCACUGGACCGGUUCUGACGCUGAAGCGCGAAAGCGUGGGGAGCAAACGGG
rnacentral:rRNA from 1 species